rnacentral:lncRNA from 1 species
UCCUGCAAGCCACUUCAAGAAAAAGCCUCAUAUAUUGCAAUCAGGAAUCUGAUUCUCCAAGAUAGUUCUCAAAUACAGACCAGCUCUGCAGGUGAUGAGCUGAAUUUGAUGCUAACCACCACACGAAAGAAGAAUUCGAAGACUAGUGAUUAUACAACACUUCGUUAACAUAUAUACAUGUAAGUGCAAAAGAUUAACCGUUUGAAGAGAGAACUCCGGAGCUUCAAUCAAGAGGAACUGACCUGGAGCUUAUCCAGAUAUCGCCCUUGUUGUUUGCCAAAAGGUCGAAGCUCUUUCUGUGCAAACUCUAGUGCACUCGCACUGCAUUUUAAACAAAAAAUUAAAGAGUAUAAUGAUAACAGUAAUAACAAUAGUAAUAAUACAAUUGGUAUCAGCCUUCUUGAAAUUAGCUACCAACUCAACAAAAACAUCCGUACUAUUUGAUGAGAUUAAUAAAACUUAUUUGAGCCAAAAACUGAACCAAGAUUUAUCCUAGUAAAUCCAGAAUUAAAGAAAAUUACCAUAAUCACACGGAUAACAAUCCCAAAUAAUGUGAAGCCUUACCAAUCCUUGGCUCGAACAAGUUCGAUAAAGUGGAGGGUUAAAAGAUCAAAAUGUACAUCCGGAUUGGAAGUAAGAAGAUCCACAGCAAGCUGAUUGGUAAGCUCGAUAGCUUUCGAAGCAUUGCCUUCCAGAACAUGGUUGUAGAUUGCUGCAUCACAAGCCGAAAAUCAACUCAAUACAUUUACCACAUAGCACAGGACAAACAAAUUGGUCAAGUAGACGACUCAGGGGUACACCAGAAUUUUUUAUUACGACGACCCUACAGUGUUGAGUCUAUAAUUACUCCCUAAGGGUGCAGAAUAGCGAGUGGUACCAAGAGGAGCAGAUAUUGGCAAAACAAAGGAGAUUUUAGCGUGAUCCUUGAGGCCGACCUACGAAACUCAAGGUGCACCCUCCCAGACUUUAACAUGCCAGCUACUGUCACCAACGUGCUUUCUGUGAAAUUAUUCACCAGGACCAAGCAUAUAGUCAAACAAGCUACGAUAUCAUGUAUUGAAAGCUAGGCACUGCUCGGAAAUGUGUUCUGCAAGUAGUCAAGAGACAUAUGUUUUGGUCAUUUCAGACCAAAGUCGCAUUAUAUCAGAGCUGUAACUAUCAAUUAGAAUAACCAUUCUAGCAGUGCAUAGGAAAACUAGGAAGACAUUUUUAAAGGCUCCAUAUCUGCUCAACAUCUACUUACGAGAUAAGUUAUAAUUUUAUCAGUUCGAAGUGGCCAUGGAUUUCGUUCGGCUACAUUGCGCCUGCAAUGAUGAGUCACCAUGUAGACGUACAGAACAAAUAUAAAUAUAAAUAUAAAAGCAAUCCAUCGCGGCAUCUGGACUGAAACAGAAUGCAGUAAUUUGGAUAGAAAAC